AUGGUGGAAUCCGAAAAACCGAAUGUAAAUAGAGUAGGAA
rfam:Flavobacteriia bacterium 40-80 scnpilot_p_inoc_scaffold_30, whole genome shotgun sequence.